GCCGCGGUAGCUCAAUUGGUUGAGCAUCGCACGUGAAAUGCGAAGGUUGUGGGAUCGUUCCCCUCCUGCGGCA
rnacentral:tRNA from 1 species